CGGCGAGUGAGCGGCAAAAGCUCAAAUUUGAAAUCUGGUACCUUCGGUGCCCGAGUUGUAAUUUGGAGAGGGCAACUUUGGGGCCGUUCCUUGUCUAUGUUCCUUGGAACAGGACGUCAUAGAGGGUGAGAAUCCCGUGUGGCGAGGAGUGCGGUUCUUUGUAAAGUGCCUUCGAAGAGUCGAGUUGUUUGGGAAUGCAGCUCUAAGUGGGUGGUAAAUUCCAUCUAAAGCUAAAUAUUGGCGAGAGACCGAUAGCGAACAAGUACAGUGAUGGAAAGAUGAAAAGAACUUUGAAAAGAGAGUGAAAAAGUACGUGAAAUUGUUGAAAGGGAAGGGCAUUUGAUCAGACAUGGUGUUUUGUGCCCUCUGCUCCUUGUGGGUAGGGGAAUCUCGCAUUUCACUGGGCCAGCAUCAGUUUUGGUGGCAGGAUAAAUCCAUAGGAAUGUAGCUUGCCUCGGUAAGUAUUAUAGCCUGUGGGAAUACUGCCAGCUGGGACUGAGGACUGCGACGUAAGUCAAGGAUGCUGGCAUAAUGGUUAUAUGCCGCCCGUCUU
rnacentral:rRNA from 1 species